UCAUCCUAAGACCAAAAAACCUAACUACUCCAUCAUCUUCUUCCCACAGGUCUAUCAUCUUCUCACCAUCUUCUCUCCAUGGACACACCACCCGCAACCUCAUAUUUGUUACAGUUCACCAAUAAGCAAACCCCCUUGACAUCAUAAUUCCCACCUUCGACCACUGUAAUCAUAAACACGAGCUGCAAAUCAGAAAGAAAUCACACACAAGUUCAUUUUUCUUCAAUCGGGUUUACACCAUUUUUGACUUUCUCGAGUGUGUGUGUGUGUGUGUGUUUCAAUUUUUCAAUGUGUGUAUUGAACCCAGAUGUCAAAACUUCGAUUACUUGUGGAAAUAUGCUUUGAUUGUCCUUUCUUCUUAAGAGCCCUAAUUUCUUUGAUGUGUGUGUGUGUGUGUUUGUAUGGACUCUCGAGGACCACAAGUUGACUAUACGUGUUCCACCCCCAAUCAACCCUACCAAGGAUGGGUAAAAAGAUGAAGAACAGAUGUAUUACUUCCCCAAUCAGUUAACAGCCAAUACCAAGAACAAAGGUUUGAUUCUUUUUGUUGGAAGUGUUAAUUGACGAUUGAAAUAAAGAAACCCCCAAAAAAAUGAGAGAUUUAUAGGUCUAUGUAAAGAAGAUGAUGAACAAGGGAGACUUCUCCCCAUUUUUUUUACUAGGCCUCAGUCUAGAAUGAAAAGGGAAUGUGCCCGAUUGUUGCUUGAUUUCAACAUUAUUGCAUGAUUUAUCCAUUGUUGCUCGAUUUAAACAUCCCAUCUCACCUUUUCAGUGCAAGAAAUCAUGAAAAUGGUGUCUGCAAAUCUAGAUCUCUACUUGAUAUUAUUACUCAUGAAAGCAAGCUGCUAGAGGUUUUGAGAUUGCUCAAUCUCUUCAUUUCAAAGAGAACAAGAGUACUUAGGGAGAAUAAUCAACGGAGAGAGAGAGAGAGAGAGAGAGAGA
rnacentral:lncRNA from 1 species